CACGUAGGCACCAAGCGUUGUCCGGAUUUAUUGGGCGUAAAGAGCUCGUAGGCGGUUCAGUAAGUCAGGUGUGAAAUCUUUGGGCUUAACCCAAAGCGUGCACUUGAUACUGCUGUGACUUGAGUUCGGUAGGGGAGUGGGGAAUUCCUAGUGUAGCGGUGAAAUGCGCAGAUAUUCGGAAGAACACCAGUGGCGAAGGCGACUCGCUGGACAAGUAUUGACGCUGAGGUGCGAAAGCGUGGGGAGCAAACAGG
rnacentral:rRNA from 1 species